AAGAGUUUGUUGUUUGAGGCUGGUAGAGGGAGAUGAAAGGGGAGAGGGAGAUGGAGAGUUUGUCGGGCAUCAGUCCCCUCUCCCAUCGCCUGCGGCCCUCCCUCACUCUGCCCAUGUGAGCGAGAGUUCAAACACAGGGCCCACAGCUGCUCACGCACACACACACACACACACACCCACAGACAGAAGCACAUACGUGGACGAUGAACACGUGGGUGUCCGUACGCACACAGACAUGCGCUCAACUAAAACACACAAGCAGACACGGAAACAACAUGCAGAAAUGUGAAUCUGCACAUACGUGCCGAAUACUGUUCACAGGCAAAUAUACUCAUGCACACUAACACACUCAGUUACGAAAAGACACAGUCGGUCGCAUGUGCUUGUACCAUCUAUAAGUGCACACCAGACUAUCACACACACACACAGAGGGAUCCCACAUACUGCGAUCAAGAGUUGAAAUUCAAACAUUCAAAAACUGUUGCAUCCCAGUGAAGCUGUUAUUCAGGGACAACGGAGACAACAAAGUUCCAUAUUUUCUCCUAAAGGUCAGGAAUUUUAAAGCUGUGCUCAAACUCAGGACACGCAUUAAAUGCACAGUGGGAGCAAAUAGCAACCAGAGUGUACAAAAUGUAAAGGUUAGUAACAUGACCUACAGCUGUCUGAAUACGGUACUAGUAACAAAUAUGUCAGCGAUCAUGGACUCAAAAUUGUCCCGACUAACAGCCAUCAAAAUGGAAUAAAGCAUGACUAGACAAGUCAGUCAUAGUUCAGACGAGGAAACUGCGAAUGAUCUUUAAAAACCAGGGCCUGCCAAGACGGAUAACACUUGAUUUUGCAUUGAUAGACACUUCGACAUGAAAACACUGCAGCUCAACAGAGAGGAUGCACAAAGUUUCCAAGUACUCUCGACUUUGCUUGUCAUUUAUGUCAACCUGAGUGAUUGACUUUGUGUUUUUUGUUUGUUCUGUUUUUUUGCAUCUUCAAGCCCAUUACUCACAUUCGUCCAUAUUCGUCCGGCCUUGUCACGGUCUGCGAGAGAUGUUUGUCACUGCUCAGUCUCGUCUCCAUCUGAUGGUAUUUCCUCAUGAUCAAUUGUGAUAAUAGUAUUUGACUGACAUCAAGGGGCCUGUUGAUUUGUUUGGUCAACACACGACUCGACAAGAAUACCAACAGUGUGACUCAUCACUCAUCUGAUUCAGAUGUGGAUAUGCGUUGACACUGGACAAUCAAAAUGGCUUCUGACAAUUUUAAACUUGAACAGAUUUGAUUGUUGUUUAUUUUGAAAAUGCAAGAGAGGAUACCGAGAGCAGCCCAGUGAUGGGAAACGUUGAAUUUAGCUCCUGAAGUACAAUUCAGUGAUAGAAAGCCAGAGAUGACUGAGUGACUGGAAAUGCACAGCUUGUAUUUUUAUGGUUUGAUUUGGCCUCCCGUUACUUUUAGAUGGAGAAUAAGAGUACCACACAUGAGUGCAACUUGUUUUAGAGUUUCACAUAGAGUCAUGAACAAAAUAACAUAAACACCUACAGUUUUUUUUUUUCUGUUAUCGCAAUUGACUCUUAAAAGGCAGGUUGCCAUCCUCAUUAUUCACCUUUCUGGGACAAAAGAUUUAGAGAAUCUGUAAUCGUACACCCCUUAAUCCAGCAACAGGAGAGGCGGCUGGAAAGGAAGCGCAGGCUCAAAGAUGGCUGGAGCGUCUGCGGGAGGGGUUGUCACUGAUGAAAGAGGGGCACGUCUGAAAUUAGCUUUUACCAUAGCUAAAUGUGAGGAAAAUGUCCUGCGCUGAUUUUGAGAAGAGAGGCUUAAUGUUUAAACAUUGGAGUUGAAGCGAAACUGAUCCAAGCAUAGCAGAAUCAGAAGCAGCUGAUUAAUUAGGGGGAAAAAAUUAAAUACAAAAAAAUAAAAGGGUGAGAUCAAAGAAGACACUGGGUGUACACAGAUUUCGAAAUGAAGAUCAUAGACCAAAAACAACAGGAAGGAGCUUGUAAAGAGGUCACACAGUGAUCACACAUUGACGGGUAGAAUGAAGGAAGAGGUAUCGGAGGAGUGUAAAUCUCAGGAGAGAGAUGGAGGGUCAGGGUUGAGAACCAGGCGACGAUGGACACAUCAUAUAAGACGCACGCACGCACGCACACACAAACACACACGCACACACACUAUAAUUAGCAUGCUAACAGGCAGUUAAAUGUCCCACACAAAGGCUCACUGUUGAGCCUUGGUCGUUCACUCCGGAAACAAUACACAAAAGGAGUCAGUGGAAGCCCCCAAAUCACCCUAAUAGCUGAUGUGGCCCAGCACGACUGCUCCUAUUUUACCAUCACACUCAUUCAUUCACUCACUGACUCGCUAAUGAAACGACGAUGGCCCCGAGGCCUGCAGUUACUGGGCAGCUUGCCCCUUUCCUCCUGAUUUCCCUCUUUUCAUCCUUUCAUCUGCCGACAGAAGUGCCUCUCCUGAGGACCAGAGAGCCGACACGUCUGCUGUGUUUGCCGUCAGGGAUCCUGCGCAUGGGAACAGCAACAGGCUGACUGACAGGCAGAGAACGGAGGACUUGUAAUGAAACAAAGAUCAACAUGCUUUUCUGCGCCCGCAAAAAAGGAGAGCAACUGACUAUUGAAAGUCAUCUAUGAUACAACCAUCGCGACAUCUCAUUUCAAGCCUGAGAGGAGUCAAAGAUGUCGUCCUCUUCCUCCCCGCAGCUCAGUGCUACCUCAUUCUCGUAACAGAAGGCACCCAGCGACCUGGGAAUCAAGUCUUGUGUGGAUCUACACGCGGAGACGGGAGAAGUAGCCGAAGAGGG